rnacentral:lncRNA from 7 species
UAUCGACUAUCAAUACAGAUGACGAUAUUGGAAGGCACAGACAGAUUUCUUCCCAACAGAUGUUAUAGCUCCUGUCUGAAGAGAUGCAGUGCAACUGGGACUCAGACUAAAACAUCACUGAACAUGAGGCCUCCGAAAUCUCACGAAGUAUAAAACCAGAGUAACUGCCAAGCUUCUGGGGUGAGAAUCACACUGUUCCUCCAGUUUCACAAUGUCCAUGAUUCUUUGGGAAUCACAGAGUGCAACACUGAGUGCUUGAAGAACGCUAAAAGAAAAUACUGAGAGAGGAGCAGGACGAAAGCAUGCAUGCCCAAGGGGUCUGGCCAGGAUCCUUACAGGUGGCAAUGGUGCUGGGUAUCGAGUCUUCACUGCAUCUUUUGGGUUUCUCUUGGAUGAUAGUAAUUAACUGACUUUUGACAGGUCUUUUAUGUUCCCAAGGUGUCAACGGUUAUGGUGUGUGAUUUGUCUUAAUCUCACUUAUUUAUCCUGCUUAAAUCUCGAAUUGUCCAUUUUCUUGGUUUCUGUUUCUGGUCACAUUACAGCUACAGUGUGCCUUCCUGCUGGGACAGCAGGGUAAGAAGUGAUACAGAUUGCUUUAUCCUGAUGCAAACAUCAUGCUCUGGUGCUUGCCACUUGGACUGCUGGCAGUCAGCUUAUCAGUACUUGCCACUGAGCUGACUCCAGCAUUUCUUCUGGUGCUUUUACACACAGAUGUUUCUAUUCAUGCUUCAUUUAGACUAAUCUUAAUGUUUCUGUUGCAGAUAUUUACGUUAUUGUUUGUUGCUCUUGGUGCUAUAUUCUGCUUUCUGUCACAAAUUGCCUGCUUCCAGAUAAAAAAAAGGUGAAUUAUUCACUAAGAGUGCUUAGAAGAAAUGUGUUUGAUAGCAGAUGAUUUGUUGGGUUGUUGGGUUAUAAAGGCAUUCACCCCUUUGAGUGUAGUCCAUGUUGGCACCAGCUAACGUUUUCAUUCUUAGUAGCGUUGGAUAACUUCUGUCAAACUCUGUUGUAGUGAGUUGGGCAGCUGUCUCCAUGGAGUCACGUGGGUCCCUUUUGCUCAGCUAGCAGUAAGAGUGAAGGAGCAUUAGGAACUGUGAAGAAUCACUCCACUGCCGACAAGUUCUCUUUCAUCUUCCUGCCUUCAUUCAUCUCAGUGUCAUAUUUUGUUUUUAGGAUGUAGGUGAGAUCUUUUUAAACAAGAAGUUGAAUCUGGUACUUCAGAAUCACUGUGAUUAGAGAACUUGCUACCAUGAUGGCUGUAGUCUGUUAUAAAUUGCUUUGUCCAGAGGAAGAAUGUAACUUUUAUGUGGAUAAUUCAUGUGAAAACUAAGUUUUGUGUUUUCUUGGAUUUGGUUUGGGUUUUGGUGGUUUCUUUAAGAUCUCUGGUAUACGACUGUUGUUCAAACCAAUUUAGAACAGUAAGAACAUUAUCAAAGAAAUUACCUGAAUGUUAGCGCUCUCUUUGUGUUUUGCUUCUCUCUACGGUUACCUAUGGUUCUGUUAUGGCACAAAUAGGUUUUGUAUCUUUAAAGUCUGGUUUUAUUAAAGAAAGUAUUUCCUUCUGUGGGAGAAAAAGAAAUGCUUCCUUCUCCUGAUAUCUUGGCAGUGUGUAUUCUCUGCCUGUCUCCUUCUCACUGACAAUCAUCCUUGCUCUUCAACAUGGCUAUUUUGGUUCUGCUGAGGUUGCCUUUUUCAAAUAACUGAUGUACAAAUAAUGCAAAACAGACUUGCUUUGUUUAGUUUGCUUUGGGAAAGCCUGGAAUAUAUUCAAAGGAAAAUGUUGCAAAAUAAAUUCCCUGUUAUCAU